AUUGAACGCUGGCGGCGUGCCUAACACAUGCAAGUCGAGCGGUAACAGGCGUAGCAAUACGUGCUGACGAGCGGCGAACGGGUGAGUAAUGCUUCGGAAUCUGCCCAAUGGUGGGGAAUAACCAGCCGAAAGGUUGGCUAAUACCGCAUGAGCCCUACGGGGGAAAGCAGGGGAUCGUAAGACCUUGCGCCGAUGGAUGA
rnacentral:rRNA from 1 species